GAAGUCUGAUUAUCGGAUAUCAUGGAGUCUGGCAAGAUGGCUUCUCCCAAGAGCAUACCGAAAGAUACACAGAUGAUGGCACAAAUCCUGAAGGAUGGGGGGGAUUACAGAACAUGAGCCAGCAGUUAUAAAUCAGUUGUUGGAGUUUGCCUUCUGAUAUGUGGCCACAAUUCUAGAUGAUGCAAAAAUUUCUCAAGCCAUGCUAAGAAAGCUACUGUUGAUGCAGAUGAUGUGCGAUUGGCAAUCUAGUGCUGAACUGACCAGUCUUUUACCUCUCCUCCCUCAAGAGAUUCCUUAUUAGAUAUCGCAAGGCAAAGAAAUCAAACUCCUUUGCCAUUAAUCAAGCCAUAUUCAGGUCCUAGAUUGACACCUGAUAGGUAUUAACAGCUCCAAACUAUAGGCUGAAAUCUUUACAAAAAAAGGCAUCAACUUCUGCAGGAAGAGUAACAGUCCCGCGGUUAGGUGUUGGUUCGGUUACUAGCAAACCAAGUACUCCCACACUAGGCACACCAACCCCACAGACCAUGUCUGUUUCAACUAAAGUAGGGACUCCCAUGUCCCUCACGGGGGCAAAGGUUUACAGUAUAGAUGCCUACACUUCACAGUCUCCAUCUGUAAAAGCUUCAAUUCCUGCAACAUUCAGCAGUUCAGAAUGUUCUGAUUAAUCCAUCAUUACUUGGGUCCAAAAAUGGUGUCAUCAGAAAAUACUGCCAAUGAAUCAUCAAAUGUAUUAAAAAGAAAACAUGAAGAUGAUGACAAUGAUAAUUUGUAAUCCAGCCUUGGUGUAUGUAACGUGUAUAGUUGGUCUUGAAUGCAUUGUACUGAUAUUAAACAUGCAUGCUGGAUGUUUUCAAGUUGUGUUUUAGAAAACUUUAAUAAUAUUUAAUGAGUAAAUACAAUUACCAUACUUUUCAAUUGAAAUUAAGGUUUUUCAUCAGCCUUAAAAGUCUAAGAAAAAUAAAGUUGUCGUUCAUU